rnacentral:sRNA from 1 species
GUUUAGAAAAACUAUUUUGUUGUAGUUUUCCAUUCAUGAUUUUAGUUUUUUAGUUUUCCUAAAAUUUAGGGAAUCUAAUUUUUACUCCAUCAACGUUAUUUUUCUCAAAAACUAAAAACUAAUUUUUUGGAGUUUUUUAAACAAAAAUAUAUUAACAAAAAUCUAAAUCUAAAAUCUAAAAUCUAAAUCCAAAAACUGAAUCGAAAAUCAACAUCCAUUCAAGGCCUUAGAUUUUUGUUAAUAUAUUUUUGUUUUAAAAACUC